rnacentral:sRNA from 1 species
CACUCGCAGCCCGACUUGAACGGAAAUCCUUUUUUGCUGCUGGAAAAGCAAAGGCAAAAAGAUUGGGAGUGGAAGGCGGAAAAGCUG